AGCGUACACGGUGGAUGCCCUGGCAGUCAGAGGCGAUGAAGGACGUGCUAAUCUGCGAAAAGCGUCGGUAAGGUGAUAUGAACCGUUAUAACCGGCGAUGUCCGAAUGGGGAAACCCAGUGCAAUUCGUUGCACUAUCGUUAACUGAAUACAUAGGUUAACGAGGCGAACCGGGGGAACUGAAACAUCUAAGUACCCCGAGGAAAAGAAAUCAACCGAGAUUCCCCCAGUAGCGGCGAGCGAACGGGGAGCAGCCCAGAGUCUGAAUCAGCUUGUGUGUUAGUGGAACGGUCUGGAAAGUCCGACGGUACAGGGUGAUAGUCCCGUACACCAAAAUGCACAGGUUGUGAACUCGAAGAGUAGGGCGGGACACGUGGUAUCCUGUCUGAAUAUGGGGGGACCAUCCUCCAAGGCUAAAUACUCCUGACUGACCGAUAGUGAACCAGUACCGUGAGGGAAAGGCGAAAAGAACCCCGGCGAGGGGAGUGAAAAAGAACCUGAAACCGUGUACGUACAAGCAGUGGGAGCACCUUCGGGUGUGACUGCGUACCUUUUGUAUAAUGGGUCAGCGACUUAUAUUCUGUAGCAAGGUUAACCGUAUAGGGGAGCCGCAGGGAAACCGAGUCUUAACUGGGCGUUAAGUUGCAGGGUAUAGACCCGAAACCCGGUGAUCUAGCCAUGGGCAGGUUGAAGGUUGGGUAACACUAACUGGAGGACCGAACCGACUAAUGUUGAAAAAUUAGCGGAUGACUUGUGGCUGGGGGUGAAAGGCCAAUCAAACCGGGAGAUAGCUGGUUCUCCCCGAAAGCUAUUUAGGUAGCGCCUCGUGAAUUCAUCUUCGGGGGUAGAGCACUGUUUCGGCUAGGGGGUCAUCCCGACUUACCAACCCGAUGCAAACUACGAAUACCGAAGAAUGUUAUCACGGGAGACACACGGCGGGUGCUAACGUCCGUCGUGAAGAGGGAAACAACCCAGACCGCCAGCUAAGGUCCCAAAGUCAUGGUUAAGUGGGAAACGAUGUGGGAAGGCACAGACAGCCAGGAUGUUGGCUUAGAAGCAGCCAUCAUUUAAAGAAAGCGUAAUAGCUCACUGGUCGAGUCGGCCUGCGCGGAAGAUGUAACGGGGCUAAACCAUGCACCGAAGCUGCGGCAGCGACACUAUGUGUUGUUGGGUAGGGGAGCGUUCUGUAAGCCUGCGAAGGUGUGCUGUGAGGCAUGCUGGAGGUAUCAGAAGUGCGAAUGCUGACAUAAGUAACGAUAAAGCGGGUGAAAAGCCCGCUCGCCGGAAGACCAAGGGUUCCUGUCCAACGUUAAUCGGGGCAGGGUGAGUCGACCCCUAAGGCGAGGCCGAAAGGCGUAGUCGAUGGGAAACAGGUUAAUAUUCCUGUACUUGGUGUUACUGCGAAGGGGGGACGGAGAAGGCUAUGUUAGCCGGGCGACGGUUGUCCCGGUUUAAGCAUGUAGGCUGGUUGUCCAGGCAAAUCCGGAUAAUCAAGGCUGAGGUGUGAUGACGAGGCACUACGGUGCUGAAGUAACAAAUGCCCUGCUUCCAGGAAAAGCCUCUAAGCAUCAGGUAACAUCAAAUCGUACCCCAAACCGACACAGGUGGUCAGGUAGAGAAUACCAAGGCGCUUGAGAGAACUCGGGUGAAGGAACUAGGCAAAAUGGUGCCGUAACUUCGGGAGAAGGCACGCUGGUGUGUAGGUGAAGUCCCUGCGGAUGGAGCUGAGACCAGUCGAAGAUACCAGCUGGCUGCAACUGUUUAUUAAAAACACAGCACUGUGCAAACACGAAAGUGGACGUAUACGGUGUGACGCCUGCCCGGUGCCGGAAGGUUAAUUGAUGGGGUUAUCCGUAAGGAGAAGCUCUUGAUCGAAGCCCCGGUAAACGGCGGCCGUAACUAUAACGGUCCUAAGGUAGCGAAAUUCCUUGUCGGGUAAGUUCCGACCUGCACGAAUGGCGUAAUGAUGGCCAGGCUGUCUCCACCCGAGACUCAGUGAAAUUGAACUCGCUGUGAAGAUGCAGUGUACCCGCGGCAAGACGGAAAGACCCCGUGAACCUUUACUAUAGCUUGACACUGAACAUUGAGCCUUGAUGUGUAGGAUAGGUGGGAGGCUUUGAAGCGUGGACGCCAGUCUGCGUGGAGCCAACCUUGAAAUACCACCCUUUAAUGUUUGAUGUUCUAACGUUGGCCCCUGACCGGGGUUGCGGACAGUGUCUGGUGGGUAGUUUGACUGGGGCGGUCUCCUCCCAAAGCGUAACGGAGGAGCACGAAGGUUAGCUAAUCCUGGUCGGACAUCAGGAGGUUAGUGCAAUGGCAUAAGCUAGCUUGACUGCGAGCGUGACGGCGCGAGCAGGUGCGAAAGCAGGUCAUAGUGAUCCGGUGGUUCUGAAUGGAAGGGCCAUCGCUCAACGGAUAAAAGGUACUCCGGGGAUAACAGGCUGAUACCGCCCAAGAGUUCAUAUCGACGGCGGUGUUUGGCACCUCGAUGUCGGCUCAUCACAUCCUGGGGCUGAAGUAGGUCCCAAGGGUAUGGCUGUUCGCCAUUUAAAGUGGUACGCGAGCUGGGUUUAGAACGUCGUGAGACAGUUCGGUCCCUAUCUGCCGUGGGCGCUGGAGAAUUGAGGGGGGCUGCUCCUAGUACGAGAGGACCGGAGUGGACGCAUCACUGGUGUUCGGGUUGUCAUGCCAAUGGCACUGCCCGGUAGCUAAAUGCGGAAGAGAUAAGUGCUGAAAGCAUCUAAGCACGAAACUUGCCCCGAGAUGAGUUCU
rnacentral:rRNA from 3 species